rnacentral:rRNA from 1 species
GAGUUUGAUCCUGGCUCAGGAUAAACGCUGGCGGCGUGCAUGAGACAUGCAAGUCGAACGGACGAUCGAGGCUUGCCUUGAUCGUUAGUGGCGGACGGCUGAGUAACGCGUAGGUGACCUGCCCCGAAGUGGGGAAUAACUGCCCGAAAGGGUGGCUAAUACCGCAUGUGGUGGUGUGUUCAUUCACACCAGUAAAGCCGCAAGGCGCUUCGGGAGGGGCCUGCGUCCGAUUAGCUCGUUGGUGGGGUAACGGCUCACCAAGGCGACGAUCGGUAGGUGGUCUGAGAGGACGAUCACCCAGACUGGGACUGAGACACGGCCCAGACUCCUACGGGAGGCAGCAGUCGGGAAUUUUGCGCAAUGGACGAAAGUCUGACGCAGCAACGCCGCGUGAGGGAUGAAGGCCUUCGGUUGUAACCUCUUUAUCUAGGAAGAGUAAUGACGGUACCUGAUGAAUAAGU